CCUAAGACUAAGCCCAGGCAUAAGCCUGAGCCUAAGCCUAAGCCUAAGCCUGAGCCUAAGCCGAAGCCUAAGCCGAAGCCUAAGACUAAGAUCAAGCCUAAGCCU
ensembl:ncRNA Y116F11B.19 ncRNA